GACGAACGCUGGCGGCGUGCCUAAUACAUGCAAGUAGAACGCUGAAGAGAGGAGCUUGCUCUUCUUGGAUGAGUUGCGAACGGGCGAGUAACGCGUAGGUAACCUGCCUUGUAGCGGGGGAUAACUAACGGAAACGAUAGCUAAUAACGCAUAACAAUGGAUGAAACAUGUCAUUUAUAUGAAAGGGGCAAUUGAUUCAUUACAAGAUGGACCUGCGUUGUAUUUGCUAGUAGGUGAGGAAAGGGCCCACCAAGGCGCCGGUACAUAGCCCACCUGGGUGGUUGGACGGCCACACUCGGCCUGAGACACGGCCCACACUCCUACGUGCGGCAGCAGUAGGGAAUCUUCGGCAAUGGGGGCUACCCUGACCGUUCAACGCCGCGUGUGUGAAGAAGGUUUUCGGAUCUUAAAGCUCUGUUGUAAGUCAAGAGCGGGUGUGAGAGUGGAAAGUUCACUCUGUGACGUUAGCUUACCAGAUAGGGACGGCUUACUACGUU
rnacentral:rRNA from 1 species